GAGCGGCCGCCGCAGCUGCCGCACAGAUGAGCCGCCGCCGAUCCUCCCACUCCCCACCCGCCCCCAAUAUUCCCGCCUCCUCCACCUCCAACCUCCUGCUGCCGGCCGACGUCCUCAUCCACCGGUUGAGCACGCCGUCUCUCGCCAGGAGGCAUCGACCACGAACUCCCUGUCACCAUUGACGCCAUGGCUUGCGGGUUCAGGUCGUUGUCGACCUGUUUCUCUCGGUCGCCGGCCUCUUUCGCCCAUGGUCAGAUCUGCGAGUCGCCGGCCCUGACCGUCUGCCAUCCUGAGGGCCAUGCCCCAAUCCGAGUCUGGCCCGGUUGGCUGUCCGCCCGUCCGCCACUUCGUGCGCCGCUGGCAUGGGGUCGAUAGCCACCUUGCCGCACAGUCCAUCCACCAGCGAGCCGCGAUCCAUCCACCCAGUUCGAUAUCCAUCAGGCACCAUCCUUCAGGAGAGCAGAGAGGAUUGCUCCUGAUGUGUUUGAUGCGUGAGAGAACAGAGAGGUCUGACAGAUCACAGGGUAUGCAGUGUACAUAUGAGCAUGGGGGAGAGAGGUAGCAGAGAUACUGGGAAAAGAUGUUCUCUCGAUGGAGAAGACACAGUGCAGGUAGUGUUGUUUGCCACUGCUUGUGCAGUUCUGCUGUUUUGCUACUAUUAUGAAUAUAAAUAUAUGAUCAUUUCUAUUGCAUUGCAAAAAUAAUGUCCACACUUCCAUUCCAUUGCAAUUAUUUUUACAAUGACAACAAGGUUCGCUGGGCCGACCAGAAGAGCUAUUUCAAGGGUGUCCUGUUCAAGGUAAAUCACGCUCUACAUGAUUUUCAUGAAUUGCAGUUUCAUUAGCCCAUUGCCCUUGUGUCCUCUUGUGUUUCUACGACUUGGUAGUUUCUGAUUGGCCAGUUGCAGAGUUUGGGCGAGGAAACUGUGGUUAUGACUUAUGUGGUCCAAGGGCGAUGGCCUGAUAAUUCUCUACAAAGGAACUUUGCGGUUGUGAAAACGCAUCAGUGGAGUGGACGUACACUAUUUUUGUAGUUACAAUUAUGUUCAUCUUAAUCCAGCGCAUCAAGGAUGCCGACGACCUAUGGGCUUCAACGAUGCCGACGACCUUUGCGGCUUCGCACCAGAAGCAGCCAACAUCGCGCCUCAGUCGGCUAGGGAGAUAACCUCUUCACUGGCAGGCAUCAGGAUGAUUCCACGUCGUACCUGUCAGGUUUAGCUCAACUCGCUGUUAUUGAGGUAGUAUGUGAAUCAUCCGAGCUUGCUAAACUUUUCAUAUACGUAAAUAUUGCAUGCCUGAUUAUUUUUAUUAUUGCUUAUUACUUAAGAUUUUGUCUGCUAAUCGGCUCAGCAAAAAUUAUAGUAGUGUUCCUUUGAUAUUUCUUUUUUAUAGCCUUUAUUGCAGUCUGCACCCCUGCAAGAAUGAAAUUAAUUCAUGUUCUUAAAUACUUAUUUAAAGCAUUUAUAUAAAAGGAAUGUAGUGCCCUGUUUAGAUGAGAAGAUUAUUAUUCCUCCAACUUGUGCUUAGCAUGCGUGAGUCAGGAUUCAGGAGGCCUUCACAUACAUCAGACAUACACACCACUCCGGCUUAAUCUACUUAUUCUUUCUCUAGGAUCCAUUUUAGAGCAUACACCUUUUACUUUUAAUACACUACAUUUGUGAGGUGCAGGAUUUCUUACACAACACUAUAAGGACUUGAGGUGAUUCGUGGGUUGUAGGGCAUGGGGAGCUUCACAAUUAUUAGCUCCAUAUUGAAUAUAUCAAGAUUGUUGAUUGUUUGGUUACACAAAGUCAUGGUAGCAAAAGUUGUAUGUAUAGCUUGUGAGUUGUGAUACAUGGUGAUGCAUCUUUGCGAUGUUAAUUGUGCGCCCCAUUUAUUGAUGCUUUGCUAUUUUCUGAUUUAUUGGAUUACAUUAGGCUUAAAAUAUAACGAGAAAUAAUGGUUAUAUACGUAAGUUAAUUAACAUGGUUUGUUGCUUCCGUAGUAGAGUUACGACAAUGGAUGAAAUAUGCUCAAUGUCUAACUUACUUUCAUGUUUUGUUGCAUAUGGAUCCAGAGCCGAUGGCCAAGUUGUUUUUCUCUACGUGUGUUACUUGACUGUCAAUUCUGGGAUGAAAUUGACUAUAGUGCUGUUGUAUGUAAUGUGUUUUUGUUAAGUCUGUAUGGUUGAAAAAUCCAUUAUAUGUGCAUGUUUGAUAUGAGAUAUGGUGCUCAUAUGGAAAGAACUAUAUAUGCAAAAGCUAUAUUCAGGCUAAAUUAAGAUCUGUGCUACAUAAUUGCAUGUUCAUUGUAUUAAAAUAAUUGUGCCCUAACUAGCAUGAUGGAGAUAAAUUGUUUCUAUGAUUAUUAUACGUGUGUUCCACGUGCAUUCUAACUAGUAUUUGUUUAGAAUUUUUUAGAGUUACAGAAGUUUAUUAAACUUCCAGAUUACUACAGACUGUCCUGUUUUUGACGGAUUCUGUUUUCUAUGAGUUGUUCGCUUAUUUUGAUGAAUCUAUGGAUAGUAUCGGGGGGUAUGAACCAUGAUGAAGUUGGAAUACAGUAGAUAUAGCUCUAAUAUGAAAUUAGAAUAAGUUUGCAACAGUACCUAAAGAUAGUGAUUUGCUUUAUUACACUAACGGAUCUCACAAAAUUUUUGUUAAAAUUUUGUAUGGAUGAAGUGUUUGAAGAUCGAGGGGCUAUGAAUAUGAGAAGAAUAAAGAGAUGCAAGAGCUCAAGCUUGGGGAUGCCUAAGGCACCCCAAGUAAAUAUUUUAAGGAUACUCAAGCUUGGGACGCACCGGUCGGCAUCCCAUCCUUCUUCAACAAUUAUCGGUAUUAUCUCGGUUUUUGUUUGUUCACAUAAUUUGUGUUCUUUGUGUUUUUGUUUUUUUACUUUAAGAACCAUGCUAGUAUGAGAUAGCCCUUCAUUGAUUUAUAGAAUACUUUAUGUGCUUCAUUUAUAUCUUUUAAGUAUGAUCUUAUACAAUUGCUUUUUGUGCUUCACUUAAAUCUUUUGAGUAUGGUUUUAUAGAAUGCUUCGUGUGCUUCACUUAUAUAUUUUAAGCUUGAAUAUUGGUUAGUCUAUAUUAAUUAUAGAAUGCUUCAUUAACUUCACUUAUAUCUUUUGGAGUAUGAAUAAUACUAUCAUCUAAAGUGGAUUUAGAAGAAGUUUGCUUCCACUAUUCUAAAUGAGGAGAAUUUUGCUUAUGUGGAGAGUAGUAAAAUUUCUAUGCUCUUAGAUCAUUAAAAGAAUGUUUUAUGUGAUGGUUAUAUUGUUGAACUUAUUCAUGAUGCUACUGAAAAUUAUUAUAAGGGAGGAAUACAUGUUUGUAGGAUUUACAAUAAUAUCAAGUUUCCUUUAUAUAUGCUUAAAGUUUUGAAGUUAUACAUGUUUUGCCUUCCUAUACUAGUUUA